GGGUCAGUAGGUUGGUCGUGCCACCGGUACGUACUGGUCUCACUGAUUCCUCCUUCCUGAAGAACCGUAAUGCCAUUAAUUUGGUGUUGCGGGGAAACAGGACAGUUACUUUGAAAAAAUUAGGGUGUUUAAAGCAAGCUAACGCUUGAAUACAUUAGCAUGGAAUAAUGAAAUAGGACGAUCGAUCCUAUUUUGUUGGUUUCUAGGAUUGACGUA
rnacentral:rRNA from 1 species